rnacentral:tRNA from 1 species
GCCGUAAUAGCUCAAUUGGAAGAGCAGUUCCUUUGUAAGGAAUCGGUUGCCGGUUCAAUCCCGGCUUACGGCU